rnacentral:lncRNA from 1 species
UGUUGAGUGGCUAGAUUGUUUGAAUCACAACUUCCGGGGCUAAUUUGAAUGUUGAACGCUCUCAGUUUCAUCAACCAAGCAGAAUCCAGGGUAACAGAAUCAACCUUGUCUAGUCUUAGUUUAACUAUUGAAAGCCGAUCCAGAGUGAGUAUUUCAUUGAAUGAAGCCUUACCAUAAUCUACAUUACAUCUGGUAUCCCACUUGUAUGCACUGAAUGACAUGUCUAAUAAUUCCAGGCUUUGCAACCCUGAAAUUGUACCAGCUUCAAUGGUUUCUAGAUGGUGUGUUCGGAAUAAAUGUAGUUCUUGUAGCUUCUUUAGCUUGCUCGUCCCGUUUGGUAGUUCUCUCAAUCGAGUUCCUGAGAGAUCCAUCACCAGGAGUUUA